UACGUAGGGUGCAAGCGUUAUUCGGAAUUACUGGGCGUAAAGCGUGCGCAGGCGGUUAUGCAAGACAGAGGUGAAAUCCCCGGGCUCAACCUGGGAACUGCAUUUGUGACUGCAUAGCUAGAGUACGGUAGAGGGGGAUGGAAUUCCGCGUGUAGCAGUGAAAUGCGUAGAUAUGCGGAGGAACACCGAUGGCGAAGGCAAUCCCCUGGACCUGUACUGACGCUCAUGCACGAAAGCGUGGGGAGCAAACAGG
rnacentral:rRNA from 1 species